AGUGAACGCUGGCGGUAGGCCUAACACAUGCAAGUCGAACGGCAGCACAGAGGAGCUUGCUCCUUGGGUGGCGAGUGGCGGACGGGUGAGGAAUACAUCGGAAUCUACUCUGUCGUGGGGGAUAACGUAGGGAAACUUACGCUAAUACCGCAUACGACCUACGGGUGAAAGCAGGGGAUCUUCGGACCUUGCGCGAUUGAAUGAGCCGAUGUCGGAUUAGCUAGUUGGCGGGGUAAAGGCCCACCAAGGCGACGAUCCGUAGCUGGGCUGAGAGGAUGAUCAGCCACACUGGAACUGAGACACGGUCCAGACUCCUACGGGAGGCAGCAGUGGGGAAUAUUGGACAAUGGGCGCAAGCCUGAUCCAGCCAUACCGCGUGGGUGAAGAAGGCCUUCGGGUUGUAAAGCCCUUUUGUUGGGAAAGAAAUCCAGCUGGCUAAUACCCGGUUGGGAUGACGGUACCCAAAGAAUAAGCACCGGCUAACUUCGUGCCAGCAGCCGCAGUAA
rnacentral:rRNA from 1 species